rnacentral:rRNA from 1 species
GUGCACGGUCACAGCGGAGGUGUUUACCCGGUCUCAUUCCGAACCCGGAAGUCAAGCCCUCCUGCGUCUGUCCUGGUACUGUUGUGCGAGAGCCAACGGGAACGGCAGUCACUGUGCCCC